CGGGAGCGCAUAGAUCCGGAAUCAAGCCGCGGAGAGGGGCGGCCGGUUCCAUCCAUCGAAGACCGCUGGGGUGCGUCCGUCCACCUGAGGUCAGGGAUGGGAUCGAGUCCAUCCGGUCCAGCUCCGAUGCGAGGCGGGAACUUGCCAAGGCGAGGCUCGCGCUGGGUUUGACCAGAAGCGCGGGAUCCGGCUUCAGUCGACGCGCUCGAGGGCUCUUGGUGAAACGACUCCUCCGUCUUCGCUCAGAUGGCGAGCGGUGAUUUCAGAAGAACUAUGGAAAGAAAGAGCACAAGGAUGUGAUCUACUAUAGUGGUACUGUUUCUUUUCUUAUAGUGGGUGAUAUGUUUCAGCACAAGGUAUGAUUCAAAGCCAUGUUUUUCUGGUGUUAUCUUUGUCGUUUGGUCAACUAAACUGGUGCUACCCCCUCAUGAGAAGAAUGAAUGUUGUGAGCUCCCAGCGGCUAAGUGUAGUGUGUUUCACGUCUUGGCUGAAUUUGUUACAAAACCAUAUCAGAGAAAUUGUCAGAAUCUUGCCCGUACGACUCUUUUCUCCUUCUGCCAUAAUUUUGUUUUGUAUACUAUUACUAUAUGAUACAUCCAUUGCUGACGUGUACAUCACGUUUUGCAGUUGUAGAAUUAAUUAUUCAGGCGUGAGUGAUUUGCGAAUGUGAAGAAAUCUCUUCCCAUAAGAGGCAGUUCAAAUAAAGUGUGAACCAAUUGUUUUCGCUGUAUCCUUGCUUAUCUAAGCUUAUAUACAAAGUACUUUGACAUGCUGAAAUAUUGGAUAACUGUCGGACGGUCGUUUCUAAAAUAUAUAUAUAGUUUGAAUUGCUAUUUUAGCAAGACCAAAGUGUCAUCAUAUUGUUUUGCCUAUAUGUCAAGGAGUGCAAGAUGCGCCUACAUACCUUUUUGCUUCAAAGUUGCUCGCUGUUUAGUUGAUUUCCAUAUUCCCUUAUGAUCGAGUCCUACGUGUACUAAUACUCUGUACCGCUAAAUCAUCACGGGGGCUAUUUGUGUCCAGUUCAAAUACCGUAAUGGAUAGGUCAGCUACUUUUAUCCAGUUUGCUGAUAAUUAACAUCCACAAGUUGUUUAUGAGUUAUAAAAAGGACAAAGCAAAACUUCCCUCUAUAGAUUCUACGUUUGAAUUGCACCAAGCUUUUGACAGCAUUAGUAGUCCUUCCAAGGUUAGCAUAUAUAGUGCUGGAGGGCCGUUAUUGUGUGGGUACAUACAGAUCUUACCUAGGUAUUGCGUAGGUACAUAUAUAUAUAUAUAUAUAUAUAUAUCUUAUAUCUAUUGGUUGCAGAGAUGAAACUGGAUGCAUACUAAUAGUCUAACGUGACAGGUGUGCAGGCAUUGCGAUUUGUAUGUAAUCCUCUAUUUUAGUAGUGUUGUAUGCAUCUCAUUUUCUUAUUUACGCUUCAUAAUUUGGACUCUCAACUGAUUUUUUUUAGUACAACCUCUGUCCCAAAUUACUUGGCUUAGAUUUAUCUAGAUACGGAUGUUCGUAUCUAGACAUAUCUUAGACAAGUACUCUGGGAGGGAGUAUUUGAUAAAUACUUUUCUCUAUCUAACGAUAUAAUUUUUAAAUUCUUUUUGCACCAGGGUCCACUGUUGACUAGAUCAUGCUCAUCGACAAUGGUGUACCAGGGGAUAGGCAUCUGAUGCUGCGGUGAGGCUGCUGGGCUAUCUUGCGGUAAAGGUAAAUUUGGUUUUGGCCCUGAAAAGGUUCCAACGAAGCUAUAUGGAUUACAGGAAGGUGUAGGUUUUGUCACAUAGAACUAAUUUUGCACUUUAUUUGCAAAAAUAGAGAGUAUGUUGUUUCAAGCACUCUAGCCGGUCCAAAAACAGAUUUAGAAUUAAUUGACGAUCGUAUGAUUAAUGUUAUGGCCAAAUGAGGCUUAUAUAUUGCCUCUAUAUAUUUUACAUUGAUUCUGAA